GAGCGGACCGACGGGAGCUUGCUCCCUUAGGUCAGCGGCGGACGGGUGAGUAACACGUGGGUAACCUGCCUGUAAGACUGGGAUAACUCCGGGAAACCGGGGCUAAUACCGGAUGCUUGAUUGAACCGCAUGGUUCAAUCAUAAAAGGUGGCUUUUAGCUACCACUUACAGAUGGACCCGCGGCGCAUUAGCUAGUUGGCGAGGUAACGGCUCACCAAGGCGACGAUGCGUAGCCGACCUGAGAGGGUGAUCGGCCACACUGGGACUGAGACACGGCCCAGACUCCUACGGGAGGCAGCAGUAGGGAAUCUUCCGCAAUGGACGAAAGUCUGACGGAGCAACGCCGCGUGAGUGAUGAAGGUUUUCGGAUCGUAAAACUCUGUUGUUAGGGAAGAACAAGUACCGUUCGAAUAGGGCGGCACCUUGACGGUACCUAACCAGAAAGCCACGGCUAACUACGUGCCAGCAGCCGCGGUAAUACGUAGGUGGCAAGCGUUGUCCGGAAUUAUUGGGCGUAAAGCGCGCGCAGGCGGUUUCUUAAGUCUGAUGUGAAAGCCCCCGGCUCAACCGGGGAGGGUCAUUGGAAACUGGGGAACUUGAGUGCAGAAGAGGAGAGUGGAAUUCCACGUGUAGCGGUGAAAUGCGUAGAGAUGUGGAGGAACACCAGUGGCGAAGGCGACUCUCUGGUCU
rnacentral:rRNA from 1 species